rnacentral:rRNA from 1 species
UGGUGGAGUGAUUUGUCUGGUUAAUUCCGAUAACGAACGAGACCUUAACCUGCUAAAUAGUCACUGGAAGCUGCUAUCAAAGCAUUGUUGUCGUGGAGCGGUGAAGGUUCGCUGGAUCUCGAAGCGGCGGCAGUGUGGUUGCUUCCUAGGAUGCACUUCUUAGAGGGACUUUCAGCUCUGAAGCUGAAGGAAGUUUGAGGCAAUAACA